CCUACGUGUGGCAGCAGUGGGGAAUAUUGGGCAAUGGGCGCAAGCCUGACCCAGCAACGCCGCGUGAAGGAAGAAGGCCCUCGGGUUGUAAACUUCUUUUUUCAGGGACGAAGAAAGUGACGGUACCUGCCGAAUAAGCCACGGCUAACUACGUGCCAGCAGCCGCGGUAAUACGUAGGUGGCAAGCGUUAUCCGGAUUUACUGGGUGUAAAGGGCGUGUAGGCGGGAUUGCAAGUCAGAUGUGAAAUUCCAGUGCUCAACCCUGCACCUGGAUUUGAUACUGUAGUUCUUGAGUGAUGGAGAGGAAGGCGGAAUGCGGGGUGUAGCGGUGAAAUGCGUAGAUAUCAGGAGGAACACCAGUGGCGAAGGCGGCCUGCUGGACAUUAACUGACGCUGAGGCGCGAAAGCGUGGGGAGCAAACAGGAUUAGAUACCCUUGUAGUC
rnacentral:rRNA from 1 species